rnacentral:rRNA from 1 species
UACCAUGCAAGUCGAGCGGGCCAUCCAAUACGAGCGGCAGACGGGUGAGUAAUCCGUGGGAAUCUACCCUUUUCUACGGAACAACUGAGGGAAACUUCAGCUAAUACCGUAUACCUCCUAACGGAGAAAGAUUUAUCGGAGAAGGAUGAGCCCGCGUUGGAUUAGCUAGUUGGUGGGGUAAAGGCCUACCAAGGCGACGAUCCAUAGCUGGUCUGAGAGGAUGAUCAGCCACACUGGGACUGAGACACGGCCCAGACUCCUACGGGAGGCAGCAGUGGG